GACGAGGGGUCCUAGCGUUGUUCGGAAUCAUUGGGCGUAAAGCGUGUGUAGGUGGCUAUUCAAGUCAGUUGUGAAAUCCCCGGGCUCAACCCGGGAAGUGCUUCUGAUACUGUUUAGCUUGAGUACUGGAGAGGAUAGUAGAAUUCCUGGUGUAGUGGUGAAAUACGUAGAUAUCAGGAGGAAUACCGGUGGCGAAGGCGGCUAUCUGGCCAUGUACUGACGCUGAGACACGAAAGCGUGGGGAGCAAACAGG
rnacentral:rRNA from 1 species